rnacentral:rRNA from 1 species
GGUGAGGAAUACAUCGCGAAGCUACUUUUUCGUGGGGGAUAACGUAUGGAAACUUACGCUAAUACCGCAUACCACCUACGGGUGAAAGCAGGGGACCUUCCGGUCUUGCCCGAUUGAAUGAUUCUAUGUUUGAUUAACUAGUUGGCGGGGUAAAGGCCCUCCAAGGCGACGAUCCGUACCUGGUCUGAGAGGAUGAUCAGCGGCCCUGAAAAUGAGACACCGUCCACACUCCUACCGGAGGCAUCACUGGGGAAUAUUGGACAAUGGGCGCAAGCCUGAUCCAGCCAUACCGGACGGGUGAAGAACGCCUUCCGGUAGUAAACCCCUUUUGUUAGGAAACAAAUCCACCCGGCUAAUACCUGGCUGGGAUGACAGUACCCAAAGAAUAAGCACCGUCUAACUUCAUGCCUCCAGCCGCGGAAGUACGAAAGGGGCCAUCGUUACUCAUAAUUACUGGGCGCAUACCCCGCGUAUGGGGCUGUUUAACUCUGUUGUGAAAGCCCUGGGCUCUACCUGGGAACUGCACCGGAAACUGAACUACUAGAGUGUGGUACAAGGCAGCGUAAUUCCUGGCGUACCACUGAAAUGCGUAGAGAUCAAGAGGAACAUCCAUGGCGAAAGCAGCUACCUGGACCUCCACUGACUCUGAGGCACGAAAGCGUGGGGAGCAAACAGGAUUAGAUACCCUGGUAGACCACGCUCUAGACGAUGCGAACUGGAUGUNNGGUGCAAUUUGUCACGCACUAUCCUAGCUNACUCGUUAAGUUCGCCGCCUGCUGAGUACGCUCGCNGACUGCAACUCUACGAAUUGACGGGGCCGCACAUCGUGGAUUUGUGCUUAAUUCAUGCAUCGCGAUGAACCUUUCUGAUCAUGACUGUCCAGACUUACAUAGAUGAUC